UAAAGGCAACAAAAUGUGAACCUAGAAGAUUCAACUCCAAAAAAUCCCCAAAUCCAGCUCCCUCUCCAAGAAGUUGAUCGAUUCUUCAAGUCCAUCUUAUCCAUCGCCUCUAUCCUGAAUCCAAUAUCCCAGAGCUGCAUCAACAAGUUUGAAGUUGCGAUGAGGAAGAAGUGAGCUUCCAUGGUGAUUUUGAGCACAACCUAUAAAUUUCUGAUCUGCCAUCCUCCCAUAGAGUAGACAGGGAGGUAACCCAGAUUCAUAGUAGCUGAUCAGCGGACUUACAGGAGCACUCCAUUAUUCCGGAGGUGCUCGAACAUUGCAAGGGCAUGCAAUUUCUUUAGCUAUCUGUUCUCCAUGCUUCUCUCUUUAUCAAGGACCCUAGUAUUUCUUUCCCACCGAAUUGCUGCUAUAAACUCUGCGCAAACCAGUCGAAACAUUUUCGCCUGCAUAGUCUUUCCUUUAGUAACUUCUAGAAUAAUUUUGUAUUGUAGCAGCCAAGAAUGCACUGUUGGCCAUUGAACUUGCAACCACUAUAUGAGUCUUUGCCAUACUGAAUAGGCAAAAAUACACUCAAAGAAAA